UGUGCCAGAACAUGGAUGCUGACUGGAUUUGCAGGUCUGAUGUUUCAUUUCUGUCUCUUCAGCCAAGGCAGAUCAAUGUUCACAAGGGAUUUACAGGCGUGCCAGCUGCUGCCAACAAACCCCGGUGCUCUGGGACUCAAACAGCACUAAGGAGUCGCCCUGCUGAGUGCCACAGCAUCUGCAGCUGCCUCAGGGUGCUUUGGUGGGAGCCCUUCAAACCUUUAUGUUCAGAACAGCAGCUAUGUCAUAAGGACUUCAUGAAGUCCCAGUUAAAUUGCUCCGUUCUGUACUACAGCCUUGAAGGUCGUGCUGCUGUUGUGCAUCUGAGUGCCAGUGCUAGAAAUGAAAAGGUUCAAAGAAUUGUGACACCAAGGAAAGGCCCAAAGCUGCACUCUGCUCCUGACAGUUUCUCUUCACAGCACCAUUUUCCUCUGAGCAUGUUCCAGUGUCUCUGCACUCCCUGCCCACUGCAGCAGCUGGGGCCAGCCAAAGCAGGCUCGCCUAGCCUGGUGUUCCUGCUGGGAGCUUCUCACAGCACGAGCAACCUCCUCUCCCGCACAUCACAGGUGUUCUCCACAUGA
rnacentral:lncRNA from 1 species